GAUGAACGCUGGCGGCGUGCCUAAUACAUGCAAGUCGAGCGAACAGACGAGGAGCUUGCUCCUCUGACGUUAGCGGCGGACGGGUGAGUAACACGUGGAUAACCUACCUAUAAGACUGGGAUAACUUCGGGAAACCGGAGCUAAUACCGGAUAACAUGUUGAACCGCAUGGUUCAACAGUGAAAGACGGUCUUGCUGUCGCUUAUAGAUGGAUCCGCGCCGCAUUAGCUAGUUGGUAAGGUAACGGCUUACCAAGGCAACGAUGCGUAGCCGACCUGAGAGGGUGAUCGGCCACACUGGAACGGAGACACGGUCCAGACUCCUACGGGAGGCAGCAGUAGGGAAUCUUCCGCAAUGGGCGAAAGCCUGACGGAGCAACGCCGCGUGAGUGAAGAAGGUCUUCGGAUCGUAAAACUCUGUUAUUAGGGAAGAACAAAUGUGUAAGUAACUAUGCACGUCUUGACGGUACCUAAUCAGAAAGCCACGGCUAACUACGUG
rnacentral:rRNA from 1 species